rnacentral:rRNA from 1 species
UGGGGAAUAUUGCACAAUGGAGGGAACUCUGAUGCAGCGACGCCGCGUGAACGAAGAAGGCUUUCGAGUCGUAAAGUUCUUUUAUAUGGGAAGAUAAUGACGGUACCAUAAGAAAAAGCCCCGGCUAACUACGUGCCAGCAGCCGCGGUAAUACGUAGGGGGCUAGCGUUGUCCGGAAUCACUGGGCGUAAAGGGUUCGCAGGCGGAAAUGCAAGUCAGGUGUAAAAGGCAGUAGCUUAACUACUGUAAGCAUUUGAAACUGCAUAUCUUGAGAAGAGUAGAGGUAAGUGCAAUUUUUAGUGUAGCGGUGAAAUGCGUAGAUAUUAAAAAGAAUACCGGUGGCGAAGGCGACUUACUGGGAUCAUUCUGACGCUGAGGAACGAAAGCGUGGGUAGCAAACAGG